rnacentral:rRNA from 1 species
CAACCUGCCUUUCAGAGGGGGAUAACGAUUGGAAACGAUCGCUAAUACCGCAUAACAUUGCAGAGCCGCAUGGUUUUGCAAUCAAAGGAGCAAUCCGCUGAGAGAUGGGCUCGCGUCCAAUUAGGUAGAUGGCGGGGUAGAGGCCCACCAUGCCGACGAUUGGUAGCCGGACUGAGAGGUUGAACGGCCACAUUGGGACUGAGACACGGCCCAGACUCCUACGGAAGGCAGCAG